rnacentral:rRNA from 1 species
CCUACGAGCGGCAGCAGUAAGGAAUAUUGGUCAAUGGACGAGAGUCUGAACCAGCAAAGUAGCGUGAAGGAUGACUGCCCUAUGGGUUUUAAACUUCUUUUAUAUGGGAAUAAAAUGUUCCACGUGUGGGAUUUUGUAUGUCCCAUCUGGAUAAGGAUCGGCUACCUCCGUGCCAGCAGCCGCGGUAAUACGGAGGAUCCGAGCGUUAUCCGGAUUUAUUGUGUUUAAAGGGAGCGUAGGUGGAUUGUUAAGUCAGUUGUGAAAGUUUGCGGCUCAACCGUAAAAUUGUAAUUGAUACUGGCAGUCUGGAGUACAGUUGAGGUAGGCGGAAUUCGUGGUGUAGGGGUGAAAUGCUUAGAUAUCACGAAGAACUCCGAUUGCGAAGGCAGCUUACUAAACUGCCACUGACAUUGAUGCUCGAAAGUGUGGGUAUCAAACAGGAUUAGAUACCCCUGUAGUC